rnacentral:rRNA from 1 species
CCUACGGGUGGCAGCAGUGGGGAAUAUUGGGCAAUGGGCGCAAGCCUGACCCAGCAACGCCGCGUGAAGGAAGAAGGCUUUCGGGUUGUAAAAUUCUUUUAUUAGGGACGAAGCAAGUGACGGUACUUGAUGAAUAAGCCACGGCUAACUACGGGCCAGCAGCCGCGGUAAUACGGAGGUGGCAAGCGUUAUCCGGAUUUACUGGGUGUAAAGGGCGUGUAGGCGGGAGUGCAAGUCAGAUGUGAAAACUAUGGGCUCAACCCAUAGCCUGCAUUUGAAACUGUACUUCUUGAGUGCUGGAGAGGCAAUCGGAAUGCCGUGUGUAGCGGUGAAAUGCGUAGAUAUACGGAGGAACACCAGUGGCGAAGGCGGAUUGCUGGACAGUAACUGACGCUGAGGCGCGAAAGCGUGGGGAGCAAACAGGAUUAGAUACCCUUGUAGUC